rnacentral:rRNA from 1 species
UCCACGCAGUAAACGAUGAAUGUUAGUCGUUGGGUCUCUAGUAGAUUCAGUGAUGCAGUUAACACAUUAAACAUUCCGCCUGGGGAGUACGGUCGCAAGAUUAAAACUCAAAGGAAUAGACGGGGACCCGCACAAGUGGUGGAGCAUGUGGUUUAAUUCGAAGAUACGCGAAGAACCUUACCUAGCCUUGACAUUGAUAGAACACAGUAGAGAUACAGUGGUGCCCGGGGACU